GUCCACGCCGUAAACGAUGAAUACUAGUUAUUGGGGUAUUGACUCCUUCAGUGACGCAGCUAACGCAUUAAGUAUUCCGCCUGGGGAGUAUGGUCGCAAGACUAAAACUCAAACAAAUUGACGGGGGCCCGCACAAGCGGUGGAUUAUGUGGUUUAAUUCGAAGCAACGCGCAGAACCUUACCUAGGCUUGAACUCCUACGAAUCCGGAGUAAUGUCUGGAGUGUCCGCAAGGAAAUGUAGUGAGAGGUGCUGCAUGGCUGUCGU
rnacentral:rRNA from 1 species